rnacentral:rRNA from 1 species
GGACCAAGGAGUCUAGCAUGUGCGCGAGUCGUUGGGACUCUUAUGAUAGACCUAAAGGCGUAAUGAAAGUGAAGGCCGGCCCUAGCGCCGGCCGAGGGAGGAUGAUCGCGGCCACGGCCGCGUUCCGCACUCCCGGGGCGUCUCGCACUCAUCGCGAGGCGAGGCGCACCACGAGCGUACACGCUGGGACCCGAAAGAUGGUGAACUAUGCCUGGUCAGGACGAAGUCAGGGGAAACCCUGAUGGAGGUCCGUAGCGAUUCUGACGUGCAAAUCGAUCGUCGGAACUGGGUAUAGGGGCGAAAGACUAAUCGAACCAUCUAGUAGCUGGUUCCCUCCGAAGUUUCCCUCAGGAUAGCUGGCACUCGGAGGAAUUUAUAACCGUAUGAGUCUCAUCCGGUAAAGCGAAUGAUUAGAGGCAUUGGGGUCGAAACGGCCUCAACCUAUUCUCAAACUUUAAAUGGGUGAGAUCUCCGGCUUGCUUGAAACGCGUUCGCGCGCGAUUGAAGCCGGAGAUCGGAUCGAUGGGUGCCAAGUGGGCCACUUUUGGUAAGCAGAACUGGCGCUGUGGGAUGAACCAAACGUCGAGUUAAAGCGCCAAAAUAAACGCUUAUGGGAUACCAUGAAAGGCGUUGGUAACUUAAGACAGCAGGACGGUGGCCAUGGAAGUCGGA